rnacentral:rRNA from 1 species
AUUGAACGCUGGCGGUAUGCUUAAGACAUGCAAGUCGUGCGGUAGAAGGCUUCGGCCUUUGAGAGCGGCGGACGGGUGAGUAACACGUGGGAAUCUGCCUAUUAGUGGGGGACAGCCCAGCGAAAGCUGGAUUAAUACCGCAUACGCCUACGGGGAAAGGCAGCAAUGCGCUAAUAGAUGAGCCCGCGUAAGAUUAGCUAGUUGGUAAGGUAAAGGACUUACCAAGGCGACGAUCUUUAGCUGGUCUGAGAGGAUGGCCAGCCACAUCGGGACUGAGACACGGCCCGGACUCCUACGGGAGGCAGCAGUCGGGAAUAUUGGACAAUGGGCGCAAGCCUGAUCCAGCAAUACCGCGUGUGUGAAGAAGGCCUGCGGGUUGUAAAGCACUUUCAGUUGGGAAGAAUAAUGACGUUACCAACAGAAGAAGCACCGGCUAACUCCGUGCCAGCAGCCGCGGUAAA